rnacentral:rRNA from 1 species
GUUGCCAUCAGGUAAUGCUGGGGACGUCUAAAGGAACUGCCUACGCAAGUAGUGAGGAAGGCGGGGAUGACGUCAAAUCAGCACGGCCCUUACGUCCAGGGCUACACACGUGCUACAAUGGCCGAUACAGAGGGCAGCUACCUGGUGACAGGAUGCAAAUCUCCAAAGUCGGUCUCAGUUCGGAUCGGAGUCUGCAACCCGACUCCGUGAAGUUGGAUUCGCUAGUAAUCGCGCAUCAGCCAUGGCGCGGUGAAUACGUUCCCGGGCCUU